AGCAGUCGCCGCGGUAAAACGGAGGGUGCAAGCGUUAAUCGGAAUUACUGGGCGUAAAGCGCACGCAGGCGGUUUGUUAAGUCAGAUGUGAAAUCCCCGAGCUUAACUUGGGAACUGCAUUUGAAACUGGCAAGCUAGAGUCUUGUAGAGGGGGGUAGAAUUCCAGGUGUAGCGGUGAAAUGCGUAGAGAUCUGGAGGAAUACCGGUGGCGAAGGCGGCCCCCUGGACAAAGACUGACGCUCAGGUGCGAAAGCGUGGGGAGCAAACAGGAUUAGAUACCCCUGUAGUCCCUGUCUCUUAUAA
rnacentral:rRNA from 1 species